GAUUAGAUACCGUCGUAGUCUUAACUAUAAACUAUGCCGACCAGGGAUAUGAGUUGUUAUGAAUGGAUUUUAUUCAUUCAAUUUCCUCUUGUGGACCUUGUGAGAAAUCAUAAGUUUUUGGGUUCUGGGGGGAGUAUGGUCGCAAGGCUGAAACUUAAAGGAAUUGACGGAGGGGCACCACCAGGAGUGGAGCGUGCGGCUCAAUUUGACUCAACACGGGAAAACUUACCAGGUCCAGACAUUAGAAGGAUUGACAGAUUGAUAGCUCUUUCAUGAUUUAAUGGGUGGUGGUGCAUGGCCGUUCUUAGUUGGUGGAGUGAUUUGUCUGGUUAAUUCCGAUAACGAACGAGACCUUUACCAUACUAAAUAGUUUGAUUUAUUCAUUUAUGAAUAGAUUUAUAUUUUAUUAAACUUCUUAGAGGGACUAUUGGUUCUUAAACCAAAGGAAGUAAAGGCGAUAACAGGUCUGUGAUGCCCUUAGAUGUUCUGGGCUGCACGCGCGCUACAAUGAUAAACUCAACGAGUAUUUAAUAUUUAUUUAUUAUAUUGCUGUAUUGGAAAGUAUGGCUAAUCUUAAACGUUUAUCGUGCUUGGGAUAGAUGAUUGCAAUUAUUUAUCUUGAACCAGGAAUUCCUAGUAAUCGUAUAUCAUCAGUGUGCGAUGAUUACGUCCCUGCCCCUUGUACACACCGCCCGUCGCUGCUACCGAUUGGAUGAUCCGGUGAAAUCCUCGGAUAAUGAUAAAUACUUUACUUUGUAAAGUUUAUCGUUAGAAGUUGAUUAAACCUUAUCAUCUAGAGGAAGCAAAAGUCGUAACAAGGUUUCCGUAGGUGAACCUGCAGAAGGAUCA
rnacentral:rRNA from 1 species